rnacentral:rRNA from 1 species
GACGAACGCUGGCGGCGUGCCUAAUACAUGCAGGUAGAACGCACAGUUUAUACCGUAGCUUGCUACACCAUAGACUGUGAGUUGCGAACGGGUGAGUAACGCGUAGGUAACCUGCCUGGUAGCGGGGGAUAACUAUUGGAAACGAUAGCUAAUACCGCAUAAUAUUAAUUAUUGCAUGAUAAUUAAUUGAAAGGUGCAAUUGCACCACUACCAGAUGGACCUGCGUUGUAUUAGCUAGUAGGUGAGGUAACGGCUCACCUAGGCGACGAUACAUAGCCGACCUGAGAGGGUGAUCGGCCACACUGGGACUGCGACACGGCCCAGACUCCUACGGGAGGCAGCAGUAGGGAAUCUUCGGCAAUGGACGAAAGUCUGACCGAGCAACGCCGCGUGAGUGCAGAAGGUUUUCGGAUCGUAAAGCUCUGUUGUAAGAGAAGAACGGGCGUGAGAGUGGAAAGUUCACACUGUGACGGUAUCUUACCAGAAAGGGACGGCUAACUACGUG